GCUUUCAACAUCCCCGUUCCAGCGCGGUCGUAAACGCGGGCUGGAACUGAAGGC
rnacentral:sRNA from 1 species